rnacentral:rRNA from 1 species
UAAUACGUAGGGUGCGAGCGUUAUCCGGAUUUAUUGGGCGUAAAGGGUGCGCAGGCGGCCGUGGGCAGUAGCGCGUGGAAUCUCCCCGCUCACCGGGGAGGGGUCGCGCUAUACGACAUGGCUUGGAGCAGGCAGAGGAUCGCGGAACGGGCGGAGUAGGGGUGAAAUCCGUAGAGACCGUCCGGAACACCAGUGGCGAAGGCGGCGAUCUGGGCCUGAAGGUGGAGCAAUCCACCUGAACUCGACGCUCGGGCACGAAAGCGUGGGGAGCGAACGGAAUUAGAUACUCCGGUAGUCCACGCCCUAAACGAUGUCGACUCGGUGUCGGGGGUAUCGACCCCUCCGGCGCCCCAGCAAACGCGGUAAGUCGACCGCCUGGGGACUACGGCCGCAAGGCUA